UACGUGGGGUGCAAGCGUUGUUCGGAAUUACUGGGCGUAAAGCGCAUGUAGGCGGCAGCGCAAGUCGGGCGUGAAAUCCCACGGCUCAACCGUGGAAGUGCACUCGAAACUGCGCAGCUAGAGUAUGGGAGAGGGUAGUGGAAUUCCCGGUGUAGCGGUGAAAUGCGUAGAUAUCGGGAGGAACAUCAGUGGCGAAGGCGGCUACCCGGCCCAAGACUGACACUCAGGUGCGACAGCGUGGGGAGCAAACAGG
rnacentral:rRNA from 1 species